GAGGGUAUAGCUCAGUGGUGAGCACAUGCUUAGCAUACAUGAGGUCCUGGGUUCAAGCCCCAGUACCUCCA
rnacentral:tRNA from 1 species